AGACGGAGAGCUCCGAAGAGAAAAGGUGAGCAUCAACUGAACAGCGUAGACAGUAGCAGCGCCGGUCUAUGUUUCGAAGGAAAUGUUACCUACUAAUAUCAUCUUCACGGCUGACCUGAAAGAGAGACGAACGUUGGGGCUAGUGCCACGAGAGACAACGUUUAAAACACCCUGCUAAGCUGAAGAUAUUUCUUUACAUCAAGAUAAAAAUUAAUGUUUGGAAGCAGUAGCCAACGAGUCUGCCUGAUGGAACCUGCAGAAUGACGGAUAUUCUAGCUGCCGCCCCAGUGACCAUUGCUUUAAUAAUUUUCACUUAGUAUUCUUUUUCAUUCCAGAUCUCAGCUUUUUGUAAUCCUGCAACCUCUUCUAUGCAUGUGACUGUUUACAUGUCAGCUAACCAUGUUAAGUUUGAUGACCGCCAACACCCAAAUAAAAAUAAAAAUGAUCUUCCUUUUAGACCAGUACUUUCGAGAACAUUCAGGCAUGUUACGUAACCGCUGCUAUAAAUGAAGAGUUCGCGCCAUUUUCAUGGAGACUGCACCCUGCCAUUGCUGCAAUAAGACCUUGCCGUCCUCUGUCGCUUCAUCUUCCUUUUGUUAGAAUAGUUAUGAAGUUGAAUCAUUACUGGAUAUGUACUUUAUGGAGAAUUUGAAAGAAUAAUGAUCUGCCAUGUGCAUUGAAUAAAGAUAUGGAGUUUCAAAACAUCUAACUUCUUCUGUGUCAUCAUUUCAUGCCAAGCUUCAUUCAUGUGCCCAACUGCCAAAAUAUGGCAUAUACUAACAGAAUGGGUGACAUUUUCGGAAGAACGGCGGGGGAAAACAGCUGCCACUUUCGACUACUGUUUACUCGUAAUCCUGCGCGAAUUAAGUAAACGAAAACUGCUCAUUUCCAUAACCGUCAAAUGGUUAAGAUAAUAGACAGCAGCUUGAAUUAACAAUACAUAAGGUGCAGUGCCACGUUCAGCAGAAGGAGGUCUAGUCAGCAAUUUCAAGUCGAAUUGAUAUCUUCCUGGGAUAAGCAAGGGGUGUUCCAGCGUACGUCUAACAGUUACCUCAGCCCGGAUUGGACCAGCCGUGGAGAAAGGUGAACAUGCUGACAGGAGUGGAAAGACUAAACUCUGAGACGGCGCAGAAGGAUGCCAAGCAAACAGAACAGAGAAGGGUUAAAAGCUGAGAAAAAUUUACUGUUCUUAAAAUUAAAUAUUAAACCAAAUUCUAAAAUUAAGUUAACACAUUAGUUUAAACAAAUCGAAGCGAAAGUAACUCUCAGAGUAAUUUUCAAAUAAGUAUAACUUAAUAUAGAAGUCAAACAACAAAAAUCAGCGUCAUAUUUUCA